rnacentral:rRNA from 1 species
CAUCUCUUCUAGUAAAAAAUAUUGGAGGUAGUAUCUGCCCAAUGAGGAAUUUAAUGGCCGCAGUAUUUUGACUGUGCAAAGGUAGCAUAAUCAUUUGUCUUUUAAUUGAAGACUGGAAUGAAUGAUUUGACGAAAUAAAAGCUGUCUUAAUAAAAUGUAUUGAAUUUAAUUUUUGAGUUAAAAAGCUUAAAUGAAGAUAAAGGACGAGAAGACCCUAUAGAGUUUAAUAAUUUUAUUUUAGAUUAUAUUGUUAGUUUUGAUUUAUUGUUUUAUAAUGAAAUUGUUUGGUUGGGGUGACAUUAAAAUAUGAAAAACUUUUAUGUGGAAUUUAACUUGAAAAUGGAAGGAAAUUUUAGGAAGAUCUUAUAUUAUGGAUUAAAAGAGAAAAUUACCUUAGGGAUAACAGCGUUAUUAUAUUUGAGAGUUCAUAUUGAAAAUAUAGUUUGCGACCUCGAUGUUGGAUUAAGAAUAUGUAUUGGUGUAGAAGUUGAUAUAAUAGGUCUGUUCGACCUUUAAAUUCUUACAUGAUCUGAGU